UACGUAGGGUGCGAGCGUUGUCCGGAAUUAUUGGGCGUAAAGGGCUCGUAGGCGGUCUGUCACGUCGGGAGUGAAAACACGGGGCUUAACCCCGUGCCUGCUUCCGAUACGGGCAGACUAGAGGUAUGCAGGGGAGAACGGAAUUCCUGGUGUAGCGGUGAAAUGCGCAGAUAUCAGGAGGAACACCGGUGGUGUAAACGGCUUUCUGGACCAUAACUGACGCUGAUGCACGAAAGCGUGGGUAGCAAACAGG
rnacentral:rRNA from 1 species